ACGGGAGGCGGCAGUGGGGAAUAUUGGGCAAUGGGCGAAAGCCUGACCCAGCAACGCCGCGUGAGGGAAGAAGGUUUUCGGAUUGUAAACCUCUGUCAACAGGGACGAAAAUGACGGUACCUGUGAAGGAAGCUCCGGCUAACUACGUGCCAGCAGCCGCGGUAGUACGUAGGGAGCAAGCGUUAUCCGGAAUUACUGGGUGUAAAGGGAGUGUAGGCGGGACUGUAAGUCAGAUGUGAAAUAUGCCGGCUCAACUGGCAGACUGCAUUUGAAACUGCGGUUCUUGAGUGAAGUAGAGGUAAGCGGAAUUCCUAGUGUAGCGGUGAAAUGCGUAGAUAUUAGGAGGAACAUCAGUGGCGAAGGCGGCUUACUGGGCUUUAACUGACGUUGAGGCUCGAAAGCGUGGGGAGCAAACAGGAUUAGAUACCCUGGUA
rnacentral:rRNA from 1 species